rnacentral:lncRNA from 1 species
AAAAAAUUAAAAAAAUGUAUUAGUGUUUUGAAAAAUUAGUCCAACUUUAUUAAAAAAAAAAUUGUCUUAUAUUUCUGCUCUUUAAUGAAAAUUCUAAAAUAGCCGUACAAUCAUUUUCUAUCAUAAAAUAAAAAUAAAAUAAAGAAAUAAAAAAAACUAACAAUCACUAGGUUUUUUAGUAUGUCAUAAAACAAAAAAGAAAAAAAAUAUACCUAUCUCGAUAUCAAAUUAUUCCAAACAUAAGAGGAGAAGAGGGUGAGUUGUGAUAUUCAAAAAUUAA